ACCCCUAUUAUUGCCAAAGUUGCAGCCAUACCAUUACCUUGCCCAUAAACCAAUGCGAAGUGAACACUAACCAGCUAGUUGAUACAACGAUCACUACUUAUGAGAAGAUUCCAUAACAAUCACGGCCGAGCAUUCUUAUUUAACAACCACUCCAAAACAACGCCUAAUAAGUCUUCUCUUACUAACUGGCAGCAACCUUUGAUAAAACAUAUAUUAUACAUAUCUGGCCUUGGAGCUUUGGACUCAUCACAACUCCAUAUCACUUCCUUGAUCUCUUCCACCGUGAAAAGUAAUUCGAGUUUCAUUGCAUCUUCCUUGGGUAUCUUCUUAAAGUUCAAUUCAAUAUCUACUACCCAUUUUCUCGAUGUGCAACUAAAAUAAUUACUGAAGUAAUCGAACAUUUUUUUCUUCAACAACUUUGGAUCAUUGCACCAAGAAGCCUUAAAUUUUAGACCAUGAAGCAUCUUCUUUUUUG
rnacentral:lncRNA from 1 species